rnacentral:rRNA from 1 species
UGGGGAAUAUUGGACAAUGGGCGAAAGCCUGAUCCAGCCAUGCCGCGUGUGUGAAGAAGGUCUUCGGAUUGUAAAGCACUUUAAGUUGGGAGGAAGGGCAGUUACCUAAUACGUGAUUGUUUUGACGUUACCGACAGAAUAAGCACCGGCUAACUCUGUGCCAGCAGCCGCGGUAAUACAGAGGGUGCAAGCGUUAAUCGGAAUUACUGGGCGUAAAGCGCGCGUAGGUGGUUAGUUAAGUUGGAUGUGAAAUCCCCGGGCUCAACCUGGGAACUGCAUUCAAAACUGACUGACUAGAGUAUGGUAGAGGGUGGUGGAAUUUCCUGUGUAGCGGUGAAAUGCGUAGAUAUAGGAAGGAACGCCAGUGGCGAAGGCGACCACCUGGACUGAUACUGACACUGAGGUGCGAAAGCGUGGGGAGCAAACAGGAUUAGAUACCCCAGUAGUCCCUGAGCGGGCUGGCAAGGCGCAU